rnacentral:rRNA from 1 species
UACGGAGGGAGCUAGCGUUGUUCGGAAUUACUGGGCGUAAAGCGCACGUAGGCGGCUUUGUAAGUUAGAGGUGAAAGCCCGGAGCUCAACUCCGGAACUGCCUUUAAGACUGCAUCGCUUGAACGUCGGAGAGGUAAGUGGAAUUCCGAGUGUAGAGGUGAAAUUCGUAGAUAUUCGGAAGAACACCGAUGGCGAAGGCAGCCAUCUGGACCGACACUGACGCUGAGGCGCGAAAGCGUGGGGAGCAAACAGG